GAUAAACGCUGGCGGCGUGCCUAACACAUGCAAGUCGAACGCCCUUUUGCGCAAGUGAGAGGGAGUGGCGGACGGGUGAGUACCACGUGGGUACCUACCUUGAGGUGAGGAAUACCACCGAGAAAUCGGUGACAAGACCGCAUACGCUUGGCAACAAGCAAAGUCUCGCAAGAGACGCCACAAGAUGGGCCUGCGCCUGAUUAGCUAGUUGGUGAGGUAAUGGCUCACCAAGGCGACGAUCAGUAGCUGGUCUGAGAGGAUGAUCAGCCAUACUGGGAUUGAGAACGGCCCAGACUCCUACGGGGGCAGCAGUGAGGAAUUUCGUCAAUGGGGGCAACCCUGAACGAGCAACGCCGCGUGCAGGACGACAC
rnacentral:rRNA from 1 species